AUCCAACUGAUGAGUCUCGAAUAGGACGAAACGCGAGUCAAAUUGAAU
rfam:Schistosoma rodhaini strain Burundi genome assembly, scaffold: SROB_scaffold0001598